rnacentral:lncRNA from 1 species
ACUGAAAGAUGUCAAGUUUGCUACGUCAGCUAUGUAAUGGUUAUUACUAGAAGAUGUUGUGCUUUUUGCUGUGGAGGCUGCAUCAAUCAUACGACCGCUCAAUCCUUCCCAUAUUGAUCUGAACUCUGUUGGAUUUGAAUAGACAUCUCUAGUGUUUACCUGAAAACUAGACGGGGCUAGAUCUGCAGAUCCUAAGAAAGAAGUGUUGGAGUAGCGCACAAGGCAAAGUAUGGGCUCACCUGGCCAUGAAUAAGCUUCUGUUUGGUUAGCACAACCCUCUAUCAAACCAUCAGAACCGGUCUUGAUACAAGCAGAACAGUCCUCUGAAGUUGAUCCUGGGAGGCACAUCCCUAUUGUGUAUACCCGGUUAGGUUCUUGGCCGAUGGAACCGCUGAAGAAGAAACCCUCGUGAGCUGUGACGUUGGAAGGAAGAGAAGAGCGGAUGAGACGGCGGUUUACAUCGUAAGUACUGUUGGGAGUGAAAUACCCUCUGUUCAUACAUUGUGCUGAAACAGAAUCAACACCAAAGGUUACGAGGACAAAACAGAGAAUUGAUAUCAAACUCCUCGGCUUCAUUUUUUUUUUCUUGAAACUUGAAAGAUGAUAAUAGCAAAAGCAAAAUCUUUGUCUUUAAAGUGUUCACGCAUCUUCUGUCCCGUUUCUUACAAGCUUAAACAUAAAAAUCAAGAUGUCCGUGUCUCUCCAUAAUUUCUAGUGUUGAACUCGUCAAACUGAUAAUAGCGAUCCACCCAAACCUUCAAGUGGGGUCACAAACACGUUAAGUCAAUAAGUCAAAGUCAUUAAGAAUGUUGAAUUUUACAAAUGUAAUUAUUGUUCGUUCUUUCUGAUCAUAAGAAAACAAAAAGCACGUAUAAUCUCCAAAACAAUGAGUCUUAACGAUAGUUUCUACUUUUUUCGCUCGACCAUCCUCUGUUUUUUCCUUACACUCAUAAUAGUUGUUGUUCUCGUCUCUGAACAACAGUGCUCGGACAAAGGAUCUUCAGACCAAACAGCAAUUUCAACAAGAACCGUUUUUUUAGGCAGUGACACAAAAUUUCCACAUGCUUAGAAAUAUCAUCAACUAAUCAGUAAUGAUUUUUAGUAAUAAGUGUUUGGAAGUUUGCUGAGUCUAGUUUUAAUCAAAGCCGCUCAUAUGAAGUAAUGGAAACGGAAAAUCAAAGAAGAAACAGUAAAAGAGCUCUAGGAUCAUGGAUGAUGUCACUGACGAUGAGAUGAAUACAAUGCGUUGCAACAGAGUCCGUAGCUUAUUCCUUUAUUUACCCGUUACAAAAGUGUGUAAUUUAAAUUUAUGCUACAAAAACAACCUACUGAUUCUUGUAAUGUUGUAUAAGAAACGCCCACCGUGGGGCUCGAACCCACGACCACAAGGUUAAGAGCCUUGCGCUCUACCAACUGAGCUAGACGGGCUUCUGAUUGCAACUUGGUGUACACUAAAAUAGCCUUAACUACUUUACUGAUCUUAGUAUCUCACACUCUAUUGAACUGUUCUAAAUCAACAUUGCUUUACCCAAAUGAAGAAUGCUCUUUUACAGCUAAAAUCUAUGGAUAACACUAGAGUUUCAAAUCACGGAUUCAAAAUACAAAGUCAAACAAUGAAAAAAAAAGGAUAAAGGCGAAUUAAAAAAAAAACUAAAGUACCCUUUAUUUUGUGAGUCUUGCUUAGAUUGUACCGUAUCACCUCUAAGCUGCUUCUGCUUUUAUCACCUUGUAGAAACCAGAACAAAUGUGAGGAGUUUCAGGUUUACUAAUCCAAUAUCUCUCCUCCACUCUGCUUGUUGCUCUUCUUGGAAUCUUCCUUAAUCUGCAACUCAUAAGAUUAUAGCAUUAAGUAGUGGAGGAGUAUAUGCAAAUAAAAACAUUAAGAAACAUAUCAUAAUUAUCUCAUUAAACUAGGACAUAGAGACUACAUUUAUGGUUAUCACAAGACAUAAGCUAGUUGUACAAGUCUCGGUUUGGGAAGUAUUUAUUUUACCUGCUGAAGAAGCUUCUUUUGUAAUCUGUAACCCUGAUGGAAAGUAAGAAUGAUACAACCACAUUGUCAAUGCUUAAACUAGAAAGGAGAAGUGAAAUUACAAUAUACUCACUUUGUCAGUUCCAUAGAUGUAAUCGCAGUAAGUGAAAACUGAAGGAAAGUUACUCUGGCUUUGUCCUCCAACGUAAUGAUGGUAAUCAUGAUACUCAGCUCCACCGUAGAACGGAAUGUAUUUCGUCAGAGUUCAAGGAAAAUCAUACCUGCAAAGUAAACAUCAUAUUGUACAAUUACUCCAAACGUUGUAUCAAGAAGAGAUUCUUAUUAUUUCAAUGGCUUCAAUUUGGCGUAAAGCUAUCCACAACCAUAAGGUUCGAGAUUCAUCAGACAAAUCUCGAUGCAAUAAAAAAACCACCCACCAGCCAACGAUCGAGACUUUAUUACCUGGAUCGAAGGAUAAGAAACGUAAGGGGGCAACGACGAGGAUAAAUAUCUUCAUGACGUCUCUGUAACAACGGAACAUGUCGGAGAAUGAGUUCUUGACCUUAGGCUGAAUCUUGUACCGAUCGAACCAGCCUGAAACGGACGCGAAAGAUCAAUGAACACGAGAGGGAGAAGAUGAGGAAGAGGAAGAGAAUGUUGUGGCAGUAGAGGUAGUAAUCUGACUUUGUGGGGAGUAUUCGAACAAAACUGUCUCGAGUCUCGUGAGGUUUCUGCCUAACGCCAUCGACGCCUCUUCGAUGGUUGCAUACUUGCAUAAGGGAUCAUUGUUAGAUGAUGACACUCGUUUUUUUGGUGACAGCGAUGGCGUCAGAUUGAGAGAGAAGAAGAGUGUGUCGUCGUUGUUAGCUGGAUUUUAUCUGUUAUAUAACUGGUCUGGCGAAUAUUUGGACUGAUGACGUGGCAUGAUCUUUUUUAUUAGAACAACUGUGAUGUCACUUGACAUGUACUUGUGGAACAUAAUCAAACCGAAAUCCAUUAAUAUAAGAUAUUUUCAGGUAUUAAUAUAAACUUUAGUUUUAUCAAAAAUAUAUAACUAAUUGUAUCUUACUGGUUUUAGUAAAAAAUAAAUUUAAUAUACUUGGGAUGAUAAUUUUGGAAAGGAAAAAAAAAUUAUUCAAUAUGUAUGUUUUAGGAUCAUACAUUUGGAGUAUAUUACAAAAGUUUGAUGUAAUACAGUAUAUUUCUCUGUGUUUCAAAAAAAAAGAUAUAGGUUUGAAAUAGCCUAUUUCUUUAGAUUUCAAAUUUUAUUUACCAGUUAUAUGGAAAAGAAAAUAAACUGCAUUCCAUAAAUUAUUUUGGAAUAAGUGGAAACAUAUGGAAUCAGGAUAAAAAAUUAUACGUGAAUGAGAUGGAAUCAUUGGAAUGGAACACAAUUAAAUUUUAAAAUUAUUUUAAUUAAUUUAAACAUUAGCUAACUUAUUUAUGCAGUCAAAUAGUAGAAUUGUUAAGAUUUUAAAAUUCUGGUAGAUUUUUAUUAUUUGUCGCUAAUUCAACAAAGUUAUAGCAACAUCUUCUUUCCGAUUUAAGCAUUUUUACGUUUGAUUAUCUUUUUUCUUUUUUUGAAACACAUGUUUGAUUAUCAAACCAUCAAAUGAAAAGUUGCUUCUCUCCUAGCAUUCUAUCUCCUUCAUCAUUUUUAUAUUAUAUAUUAAUUUUGUAUUUUUGAUAAAUGAAUGAAACACUUCCUCCACGCUUAUUUAUCUUUUCUUUCUUGAUGAACUAUGAUUUAUACCCACAUAAUUAUAUAAUUUUUCUAUCGUUGGUUAAAUAUGAGAUUCUUUUAGCAUUCAUUUUGAUUCACUCUAAUCUAGAAUAUUAUAGUAAUUAAGUUAAGUAGUGCAUUUGUAUGUUCGAUAUAUUUUAUUAGCAUACUGAAAAUAUUCUUAAUAAUUUGAUUUAAAUUAUAGUUACUUUCAUUCCAAUCUAUUCCUCUAAAAGGUUACCAUUUACUUCACCAAAAUGUUAUCCUAUGAUUACUCAUUCCAUUUUGUUUUAUUCCAUAACCUCCUUCAUUCCGAUCCAGAGUAUUCCUAAUUUUUGUUACCAGUAUAUUUCUCUGUAAAGUACAUUACAUUGCAUGACUUCCAAAUUCUUAACACUCUAGAAAUCUCACUAAGUAGUCUAUAAUGAUAUAUAAUUGCUGAUAUAUGUUUUAUACCGACACACAUUUUAUGUUGCAGAGUUUAUCAGGUUCAAAUCAUUGAUUUGGAGUUUAGGAUGAUCAAUCAACAUCGGUGUGAAAGAGAUUGUCUACGGUUUAUGAUAACAAGAACGUGUAGCUGGUCAAGUGAUUGGGGAACAAGAUUAAACUUCUACUGGUACAUCCAAGAAUGCAAGAAACCAAAUUAAAAAAAAAAAGUUGAAAAACAAACCUAAUUUAGUACACACCAACAUAAAACCUAAACCUUGAGAGAGAGAAGUCUAAACCGAAAUAAAGAGGAUCCACCACUUCUUUUGAGGAAGAAAUCAAGUUAAAGUGAUGUUAAUGUCAUGAGAGGGCUUGUGUCUUGGAUCAGAAGCUAAAGUUGGUGUCCAUGUACCGAUCUGGUGAGAAGACGACGUAGGACGGAUGGUUCCAUGAUCAGCUGCAUUCGAAGUGGUUGGCAUUGGAGACGACACGAAGUUGUGGUUCUGCUUCCUCGGAUUCUGAUCUUGCUGGUUCGUUCCAGCUAAGAAGCUUCCUACUACCACCUGAAUAGGAGUGGCUGCGACCAACAAACCAGCGACUCCACCGCCUACUACACGUCCAUCAGGACUAGCUAGCGACACGGUCAUUCCACCUGUUCUGCUCCGUGUCCCGUCCGAGUCACUUGGCAUGAAUGAUCCCGACAGUGAUAAUAUCUCAAACCGACCCUUUACAAAAACCACACAUAAACAACGGUCAAGAUCUACAAAGGUGACAUGAAAUGAGAGAAGUAGGGAUACGCAAUCUGAUUAUCUUCUUGAAAUCAUUGGUACCUCGUAUGUCAAUGUACCACCAGAUGAAUCGGGCUGACGAAGUGUGACGCUUGAAACGACACCGUUUGCGCAGAGAACGCAAAUAGCGAGAGACCCUUGUUGAGAAAACGAUAUUAUCUUCUUCGUUACGUCCUAUAACCACCACCAAAUCAUCAACUACCAUUCCAUUUUAUGUAAUGAAUUAAAUAUAUUAAUAUAUAAAUUGUCCUGACCUCGCCUGCGUUCACCGUAAUUAUAUGCGGCGUGAAAUUAGCGCCGGCCGAGGAAGGAGCCCAUUCGCCUUCAAAAAACCACAACAAAAAUACAUGUAAAUAUACUGUAUAUGUAUAUGUAUACGUAGAUGGCCAUAUACGUACGGACAAAACAAAAGUCGUGUUCUAAGUUAAAGAGGUCCCACUUGAAAUAGUAGACCUUUUCUUUUCUUUUCUUUGCAUGUUUUAGCUUAAGACCCAGAAAGAUCCGAAAAAAAAUCUAUAUCUAACUUUGAAGCCAUGGGAACUCAGAUUCAGUAACACGAUCUAGACAAAAGUAUAUUUUUAACCAUAAAAAUUAUUACCUAAAUUCUCGACUUGGUACUUUGUCCUGAUGAAGGAGCUCGGAGUUGCUGCUGGUUUCACUUUGCCGCGUUUCUCAGAUGCAGAGAAAUCGAUGACGUGAGAGGUCGUUGGUGCGGCUGAAGAUAUCGGAUUCGGUGAGAGCGCCACCGGUGCUCCGUCGUGUCCGUACUUCCUAGGACGUCCACGCUUCUUCUUCAUGGGUCCGCGGGAGAAACCUUCAGUUGUUGGCGGCGGCGCAGUCGGAGCAAAGGAAUUUUGAGGAGGAGAGACGGAGGCUGGAGGUGGAUUUGAAGUUUCUGACCUCGGAGCCAUGUGGAAGUCCGACGGCGCGUUGGAUCUCACUACCAUAACGCCACCGUCGCUCACGUCGGAUGUCCUAACAACUUCUCCGGUAGACUCCAUAUCUAGAAGAUUAUUACUUAUUUUGACAAACUUAAUAUAGAUUUUGGGACAGAAGAUUUAAUUUUCCAAAUCUAAAGCUUAAAGCAUUCAACAAAUUAAAGAAGCAAUACCAAAAUAAGAACAAUAACUUUGUAAAAUAAAUCAGCUUAAAAAUCAAAGAGGAAGAAAAUCAUUCAGAAAUACAUGAGAAAAAAAAAUAUUUUCUUCUAGGAAAUAUUGUUUCUAAGAAUUUAAAGACUGGUAAUUAUUAGGAUGAAAUUAGGAAAUGUUUGAGAGGAAAGUGAGGAAAAUUAGGUUUAUUUAUGCUGUAUGGUUUAGAUGGAAAAAGAAAAUGAAUAUAUUUUGAUUUUGAAUAUGGAAAUAUCAUGAUUAAAAAAACAUUUACUUUAUAUUUUAAUAUUUCGGUUCAGGCUUUCAGUUCAUUUCCUUCCUAACUUUUUCCUUGUCUGUCCGUUUAUAAUUUAAUAUUGAAUAAAUUAAGUAAUCUCGAAAAGAAAAUGUAUGUUUGGUAAAAGGAAAUGUAUUUAAUGGAGCGUUAUAAAUUAUACUACACCUCACAUUAAAUUUAUAUUUUAACUUUCGGAGAAAAUGAUAUUUUUUUGGCAUAUAUAGAAAUUCGUGUUUUUAGCUGGAAUCCGAUGGGAAAAUUAAUAAAUUAAAAGAGAGAAUAAAUAAUAAAUAUUAAGUAGAAAAACUGAAAGUGGGUGAUACUAAUUUGAAUUUCUCUUGUUUUGAAUUAUAUAUUAUAAAAGACAGAGGUGGCCUGCAGAUAAGAGUUGUUUAUUUCUUUUCUUUUCUUUUUGACAUCAAGAGUUGUUUAUUUCAUUAGCCGUAUUUUUUUCACUAUUGUUUGUAAUGUCUAGAUUUUAAAUCUAGCAAAAAAAACAAAAUAAUGUAGGACACAAAUUCUAUAAAUACUGUCUUUUAAUGUUUGAAGUCAUUUUAUGCUAAGUUCAAAUUUAAUUUCUUAGAACAUCCUCAUGCUAAAAUUUCCAAUUACACAUGUACUUUGUUUUAGUAACCCUCAAAGACUAGCAAAUUCUACAUUAAAUAGUUGUCGUUGUUCUUUUUAGAUGAUCCCAGCGUUUUGUCCUCAAUCUUCUCAAAAUUUUAAGUGUCUAUGGCCUAUGAUUACAUAAUCUUGUAUUGAGUUUGGCAUAUUCUCCAACAAAAACUUACAAAAAAAUGAAAAGAAAAGACGUUCACGAAAAGAAGAAGUACGUAUCUUUUUGUAAGAAGAACUACUUAGAUUAUUAGUUAUACCUCUGUUCAUUCAAGCUCAUACUGCGAUUUAGCUAAUUUGAAAUUUAACAUCAUCUAAGAAUAGUAUAUAUUGUUUUAGGUGUAAACAUGGAAAUUUGCACAAAAGAAAUGCUGCCGUGCAUUUUUAGUUAAACUCUUUAACGGAUAUAGUAUGGAAAACAAUUCAUGGCAAUUUACAGGAUUAAGCGGCAGUUAAUAUAUAUUCUGAAAUAAGAAAGUAAGUUUAUAUGUAUAAAAAGGUGAUUAAACAUGCUGGAUAUGUGGGCGGUGCUCCGGUUCGGUUUCUCUAGAUUUGCUCCGGGGAAGUUUAGAUCCGUGGCUUGGGGCUUCUGUUCUGGAGUUUCGGCACGGCGGUGAGGGUUCUUGGGCUGCCGGAGUCGGCUUUUAGGGUGAACGUUUCGGUGGAUCUAGGUUUUCUCCUUCUCGGUCCUUUCGAAGCUUUCUGUGUUGUUGGCAGGUGGGUUCGUCGGCAUCUCUCUCCUCCAGUUCGGUAAGUGCUUUUUGCGAGGUAGUCUUCGUCGUGGAGAGGAGUCCUGGCUUUCUUCCUUUCCCUUGCUUGGCGUCUCGCAUCGGAAGGGGGUUCGCUCUUGGCUCAAGGGAGGUGAUAGAUUUCUUCUAUAGGUUCGUCCACGGAGGUCCAAUGGCUGUGUGGUUGUCGAGCUUCUGUGACUCCAUGUCUGCAACUUCUUCCCGGAUGGUUGGUUUGUCGUCUAUGGCUUUUUCAAACUUCCGGUUUGGUGGUUGCUCUCUCUUUGUUGUUGUGUCCCAUCUCUUGUGUCCAGCCGUCUCUGCCUCUUCUGAGGUCGCGAGCUCUCAGUCCUUCUUCGUGGGCCAUUCUUCAUUGUCGAGUUCUCCGGCUUUUUCCGACGAAGCGCAAUGGAGACCGGAGUUAGGUUCUCUGCCUUCGGGGCAAGACGUCGAUUUGAAGUGUCAGUGUGUCAUCUGUCUCUCCUUCGGCGAUGGAGACUUGUUUCGAAUCUGUUCAUCCCUGUGCCUGAGUUGCCGAUGGUGUGAUCAGGUAGAACUUUGUUGUUCUCUAUUGCAGGUUCUGGUGUUCGUUAUGGUUGGUGCCUCUUCGCAGCCUGUUUUGUUCGAAUAAGGUGUUCAGGUCUUCAGGUGGUACGUGUCCUCGACUUGUGCUUUCCUUGGAGGCUUGUUAUGUUUGCUCGUCCUUGGCUUUGCUGGUGCUUGGCCGCAGGUUUUUGCUGUCUGAUCGUCGUGGUUGUAGUUUAGAAGGACGUCUGCGAGCUGUUUUUGGGGGAGUCUUAUCAUAAAGAGCGGAUCAUCGGGCAAGCCAAUUUCUACCGGGUUCCGACUCUCGAUUUCACUGUGGCUUCUACUUCUGCGGCAAGCAGGUUGUUUCGACUAGGCGAGGCCAGUGGUAAGCCGUGUCUACUUGUUGUGUCGGCCCAAAUCAGUCUAGGUCGAGUCUCUGUUUAGUUGUACCUUUGUUUCAUCCGCUUCUCGUUUCCUUUGUAUUUCUGUCAAAAAUUGAAAAAUUGGUAAUAAUAUCUUAACAUUUUUACCAAAAAAAAACAUGCUGGAUAUUUCCAAUCACUGCACUGCGUAUACUUGUUAUGCAUAUAAACCGACUAAUCUCUUUUUUUUUGCUAAAUAUAAACCGACUAAUCUCGGGUUCGAGGAGUAAAUAAUUAGUUAUGUUAGUGUUGUUCAUAUUGACCCGCGUGUAACGGCGUAGGACUGAAGUUUACGUAUUUGUUAAAGAUGUUGAGUACAAUUCCUUUUAAGAACAAUCGAACACUACAUGGGCUUCUGCACGAGUUCCUUAUCACGGCAGGUAGCGAAAGGACCUGCUCAUCUCCGACGAGCUUGACCCGGAUUACGGUGCUGAACAAAAACAAAGGCUUUGUCUGGGAUAGCUAAAAUUUUAUAUGUUUUCUUAUGCUUGUGUGCAAUGGAGGGUUUUAUUACAUGUCCCUUUUUUUUAAGGUUUAGCUCAAUUUGCUCUCUACCAAACUAAGUUAUGUCACCUUGAGUUACGAGCACUAAUUUUAUGAUAAAAAUUAUAAGAGGAGUAUGUUUACUGUAACUGAAUAUAUGUUUAUUGUAUAUUUUUCUUUGUCAACAGUAUUAGUUUAUUUUAUUUGUAUUUAGUUGCAAUCUUUUCACAUGUUUAGCUCACAUUGAUAUCUACCAAACUAAUUAAUGAUAUCUUCAAUUAUAAGCAAUUUGUUCUAAUAUAUAGAUAUACACACAUAUUUUAUCAUUUUCUUUGCCGACAAUUAUAGUUUGCCACUUUAUGUGCUAAUAUAAACACACAUUAGUAUAUGAUAAAAUAUACAAGAGAAAUAUUUUUUCCCGGUUUGGCUACUUUAUUGUUUGAAUAAUUUAGAAAAUGGAAGUAAUCAUGAAUCAUAAGUAUUUAUAAUUUAUAUUUAAAACCGAAUAUAAUGUAAAUCGGGACCACAAAAGCAUUGACCCUUAUAGCUAUAUUAACACACCUAAUUUGUCAAAAGCAAUAAGAUAAUUAAGAAAAUAAAGAUUAGAUAAGAACCACGUAUUUAUAGUAUUAAUUUAUUUAUUUUUUCCUGUUAGAAUACAAUUAUUUUCUUAUAAAUAUUCCGAUGUGCCUUUCACGGCAAUUUUGUGUUUGUUCAGAAAUCCACAGUCUUCCCUUUUUUAAUCUUUAACAACAAAUCAAAAUUAGUAGAAUGCGGACCAAUAAACAAUUAGAGUACAAAAUUCUAAGGCAACAAGAAGGAACCAUAAUUAAAGGUUACUAUUAAAUAUUUAAUCUCCCCGUUCCUAAUAAAUCCAUAUUAUAGUUUUUUCACACUUAUUAAAAAAAUAUUUAAAAUUGUAUUUUCUAAUACAUUAUUUUUCUUAAUUAAUUAUUUCCAAUAACUUUUAACCAAUGAGAUUUUAUUAAACAUAGUUGUAUUUUUGAAAAGUACAAUUGUUCAUUAAUUAAUGUUUUGAAAAUGUAAAAAUAUUUUUUUUAAACAAUUUUUUUUCUAAAAAAUGGAUCUAUGAAAAACAAAGGGAGUAUAUUUUAAUAUAUUCUUUUCCAAACUGUAUAAUUUGCGAAAGUCAUAGGUUUGUAUUGUUGUAUGUAUUACAAGAGAAAACCGUUUGUCAGAAAAAAAUACCCGAUUUGUGCUAUACUUAUAUCUAGUAGUAUUACUAUUAUUUAGUUUUAGUGCUAUUUAUUUAGUUUAGAGGUGAAUGUUUGGUUUUGAGUUUCGACUAUGUGUGUUCAGUGUUCUCAUCUGAUUGUUGAAGGCUUGAAGCCAUCAUUAUUAAGAUACUGUGACACGAAAUAAGAUUAAUACUAAGAUAUUUUAAUAGUACAUGUUAUUCUAAAAUAGGUUAUCCUUUAGAGCACCCCCAUUGAGGGUUCAUGGGGGGGAGUUCACACAAAAACCAAGAAAAAAAAAUAAUAAAAUAAUUCAAUCCCAUGAACUCUCUCUCUCCUAAAGUUCUCUUGGUUGAACCCCUCUCUCCUAAAGUUCAUCACUGUAGCGCGGAUUCCACGUGUCGUGGCAGCCUGCGAUUGGUCUAAUUUUUUUUUUUUUUUAACAAAAAAAAAAGAAACAAAUUUUAAUAAUAAAAAACUAAAAAGAUGAACCCCAAGAAGGGGUUCAUUGAUGUGGAUGCUCUUACGUCCUAACCCCUGACGUAUCGGCAAAUGGCAGUAUGUAAUAGUAAUACCAUGUGAAUACAAGUGGUCAAGUAUACUAAUUUUAUAAAAUCAUCGGCGUGCGAUUAAAAGUUUAUUAAGAAUAUUUUUCAUAUCAUGUGUUAGAGAGUUAAAAGAUUAAAAUCAUUUCAUAAUUUUUGUUGACAUGAUAUACUUUCUAUUUUGAUAUCAACUAAUUUACAGUAAAUAUUUUAAUCUAAAUUUUAUUUGUUUCUCAGAAUUCGAAUAUGAUCCAGUUUUUGUUGCUAAAUAUCAACUAUAUGUCAACAAAAUAUUUGUAUAGAUAUGUAUAAUGCACUUACAUAUACAUAUAAAAGUGUUAACAAACUAUGAACUAAUGUAAUAAACGGCUCAAUGUAACUUGUUUGGGCCACAGAAGCCCUAUGUAGAUACCACUGUUAUAGACUUAUAGUACUGUUUAUCAAAUUGUAAAAGUAUGUUAUUUAUGUAAUAAAUAUCAUUAUUUAUCAAGAAUAAAACUUAUAAAUAUUUUUAUCAUACAAUAGUUCGAACCUCUAUAGUAAUACGGAUAACGAAACUAAUACAAACCAGUAAAUUUAUUUAUUUUAUUUAUAAAAGCAGGUAAAUUAGUCAUUAGCACAUGAUACACAUCGUUAAAAUCCAUUUCAACCCUUAUAUUAUUUUCAUGAGUUAUUCUUUUCACCUUUUUAAUGUAUCUAAUUUUUUUUUUGGUCGAAUAAUGUAUCUAAUUUUAUGUCCAGUUAUUCCAUACUAGUCUUACUACUCUCUCAUACUUUUUUAUCACCUAUGGUUUUAUUUUACCACUAAAUAAUUUAGUGCUUUUGUCAAUCAUAAGAAAAAACAGAAUAACAGAGUUGGUGGAGUUAAAAUGCGAACCCGAAUUUAACCGGCGGAAUUAGGAAGCAUCUCAGAAGAACCGGUUAGUAGGGAUUUCAGGUUCAGAAGUCACGUGGUUCGCUUUUUUCGUAUAUAUGGCUUAGCUGUUUGCAACUUUGCAUUUAAAGACACAGUAAAGUUAGAUUCUUGAUAGAUUCUUUAAAUUUCUUAUUGGAUUGUUUUCUCAUUUGAUGAAUUAUAAGGAACUGUACACAUAAUUUAAAUGUUUUGCUUUUAAAAAUUAAUACUCAUUUGUAUCAUUUUAAGUGGUGUUUAAAAUUUUUGCACAAAAAUUAAAAAAAUAUAAAAAAUUUAUAUAGUUUAUCUUAGUUACGUAAAAGUAACAUUAAAUAAAAUUAGUUUAAUCCAUAAAAAAAUAUAAUAUUUUAUAAUUGGUCAUAAAUUUAAAUUUUAUAUAAAAUAAUAAAAACAUCAGUUAUUAUGAAAUAAAAUAAAAAAAUUUUAAAUACCAUUUAAAUUGACAGGGAUGAAGUAUCAUUAAUUCAAACAUUUUUUACCAACGAUAAUACUAACAUUUUAAUGUCAUCAAUGUUAUAAACAUCAAAAUUUCUUUGAUCUGUAUGGAAUAAUUUAAUGUGUAAAAGGACAUUCUUUUCUUAUAACACGGAAAAGACUCAGAGCAAGGAUUAUGCAUCACCAUAGUUGUCAUUAACAUACGUGGGUGUUGCAUCAUGGGGACGCACGUCCAUGGCCAAUAAGUCUUACACAAUUAUUCUUAUACAAAUAAUUGUUUAUUGGUUUGUAAAGCUUAUCUUCAUCUUGAAGAAAUAUAGUUGUCUUUUUAUAACCAUGCUAAGAGAUCACAUGAGAACGAGAUUCAUAAAACAAAACAAACUAACAAGAGUAAUCACAUGUAGGACCAGCUUGUCUCCUUACGUAAAACAAACCCCAUAAACUAACUUGUUACUCACAUAACACAUUGACUUACUAUUGACAAGCUAAUGUUCUUAACAACCAUAGGUUAUAUAAUUAAUAUGUACAGAUAAAAAAUAAAUGUACCAAGAUCUACCUAACAUUCUUCUACUACCAAUUGGUCCAACAAGAAGACCGACCACCAAUAUUUUAGCUAACUUCCCACCAUCUUUAUGUACAAUAACAAUACCAAACCACAAACCAAAUCCAUUACCGGUUGACUAUCUGAUCCAAAUACACCAAUUCAACCGCGUGGGUUGUUAACAAACUCGAUUGAAUUGGUACAUAUGGCUCGUUUAGUCAACCGGUUUAAUGUCCUAAAAAUAUGAUUUGACCAAAACCAAUUGGUAUAGAUUUCUCAUAACUAGACUCCCAAGUGAUAAUAAUACUGCCCCUCCUCCAAUGCGUGCUUGGUGAUGUUGCUGCUCUUGUUUUUGUUCUUCCUUCUCAACUGCUUCUCGGCAACUAAGCGGGAAUGAUUCUUUAACACUUAUAUCAUCGAUUCCAAUCUUCUCUCUAAUCGAUUUGAUUAUCUCCGGAUCUAUAAGGUUACCAUUUGCAUCUGUCACAUAGAACAUAUUCCUUGCUAUACCUUCUUUAGUCGAUAUCUUGGCUCUAGCAAUGUUUAAUCCGUUCUCCCUCAAUACUCGUGUUACUUCUGCCAACAAUCCAGGUCUAUCUGUAGUGCAUAGCUCCAAUCUCACACCCUGCAUAAAGGUAAAAAUAAAUCAGAUACUAAACCGAUCGGUUUAAGUUCACUUAAACCGGAAUUGAAAUUGUUCAUUGUUUCAUACCUUAACAGUUCUUCUUUCAAUCGCAGCUUGGAGACAUUGGAUCAAACGUUGUCUCUCCGGUUCUGAAUUAACCGGGUUUCCAUCACUAUGCCUCACAUAAAAUUCCAAAAAUGCCGUUUCUCCAACCGUUCGAAUCGCGGCGUGGAACACAAUGUAAGCCAUGUCCGUUAACGUGCAAACAACGUCAAACAAAAGCUUCAACCGAUCCUUGCACUGCAAGUUCACGACCGAGUAACCACGUUUCUCAAGAUUUUGUACGGAAACGACCGGAGAUGUCUCGAAAUCAAACUUCUUCUCGUAGUCACGGUCCAUGAACAUCCUCUGAUGCAACCUCCUCUCCAUAUGAGUAUUGCCACCAUACGUAACGCAUGUCCUCGUAUCAUUUUGGUAACCAUCGUCUGCUUUUAGUAAAUUAUGUAACUGCCCUUCUAUCCGUUGGACACGGUCGGAAUCUCCGUCGAUGGGAGUCCCGGAGUUACCGUCUCUAACGUAGAUCAUCGAGGCAAUCCUACCGUUAUGCGUCCAUGCCUUAGCCUCAACAACAUCACAAUGAAGAUCGGCUAGAACAGCGAAAACCUCUGAGAGUAAACCAACUCUGUCUGUUCCGGUUAACUCUAGAGCGGUUAAACCGGUGUACCCUUCGCUGUUACAGUAAUGAGACGUCUCGAUCGACUGUAAAUAUUUAAAAAAGAGUGUUAUAUAUUAUUCCCUAUUAACUUGUAACAUUCACAAAUGAAUGGUGUGGUUAAAUGGUAACUUAGAUUUACCUUUUCAAUGUAACGGAUUAGGUUCUCAUCAGUUAAUUUGUUUCCAUUAAGAUCGCUGACAUGAAAAACUGAAGAAGCGAAAUAAAAAAAUAAUCGAAUUAGCUAAUUAUUGUUACUUCCUAAAUUAGUAUAAUUAGCGUAAGAUUAGGGAUACUUACCAUCCAUGUUCCAUUUUCCGUCAGAGGAAAUGUAAGCUUUCCUAAUCCAGAGAUUCAUAUCGGUGAGAAGCUGUACAGAUUCAAGCAAUAUCCCUGGACUUCUUGCGCUAUCAAUCUAACAAGAAAAAUCAAAUAAAUGAAUUAAUUAUUAUAAAUCAUUUUGAAAUGAAAAGGAAGAAACAGAGGAAGGUAGCGUGAGGGUAAAAACCUUGACGACAGUUGAAGUAGGGCAAACUCCAUUGUCAAUCACGACCCUGCAAGUGACCAAAAAGACAGUGACCCUUUAACCUCAAUCUUUUGUAUGAAUCAAACAACCAAAACAUUACAAAUUAAAAAUUACCAAUAAUUUGACUUCUGGUUUUACUAUAUAUUAUACACUAAUAUAUGAGGGUAAAGCCAGGAGAUGACAAAGACUUCCAUGCAAAUUGGAGAUUUUUCUUUCUUCACUAAUUCAUCAAGAAUGAAGAACCUUAUAUUUGUUUCAGCAAACUCAUCAUAUGAUAAUCAAAAACUAAUAAUUUUGUGAAAUUGUUGGAUUGGUUAAAUAUGAAAACGUUAACAGAAAAUUUAAGUUUUUAAUGAUUAGAAGAAAAAGAGGUUAAUAUCUGGGAAUAGGAUUUGUUUUUUUUUUUGGUUUAAAAGAUCUUGAUUUUUCUUCAAAGAAGAUGAUUAUUUUCCUGCAUAAAGAUUUGAGUUCAAUAAGAAACAAAGAAAGAGUAAUAGAAAAAAUAAAAACCUGGGCAUGUUCAUCCGUACAACGAGCUUCUCAUAUUCAUUAGAGCAAUCGGAUAACUCCAUCUUUAUUCUUCAGUUCUUCUUCUUGCCCUUGUUACAGAGAAUAAAUCCUUCAAACUAUAUCUCACAGCCUCUCGGAACAACCUUUUAUAUUUCUUCUUCUUCAGAUGUUAGGAUGAAGCUAUCAUUAAAAAACAAUUCAUGUGUUUGCACAGAGUCGUUCUUUCUCUCUGUCUAAAAACCACUCUGUCUUUCUCUCUCCUCUUAUGGGGCAGAGUUAAGUCUGUCUUUAAUAAUAGGAUAAGAAAAUAAAUGGUAGUAAUAAGAAUAAUAAAAUAUCCACGAGGCGUUACGACCGGCUCUUGAAAAAUCAAAACAGACGCUGACCUGUUCCUGUUUUGGAUUCGUCUAGGGGCUCCCAUAGGAAAAAAAAUCUAAACCAUUAGAAUUUUCAAAAUCACUAAUCUUCUUAAAUGACUUUCCUUUCUGUCUCCUUUUCACCCAUCUGGAUUCUUACCCACUUUCCCUCCUGUCUUUUAUUUUCACGAACAUCAGGAAAAGAAAAAGAAAAAAUACAAUGGCUUAUUGACAAAACAUUAGGUUAAGAGAUUGGUUAUCAAUGGUUUAAUGUUGACAUAGUCAGGUUAAUCUUUCAUGCUAUGUAAAUAUGUAUAUAAUCGGAACUCUGUAUUUUACUUUACACUUGAGUUGAAUAAUACAGUAAGAAACUUUCUUCUUUCGCUAUCUUUUCUUGAUCGUAAUAUGGUAAGCUAUUAGCUACCAUUUUGUAUUUUUGACUGUUUUAGCUUUGAUCAUCGUUAUUCUUCUUCUUUAUGUUUAUCUCAUCUAUUUUCUUACUGGCAAUGGUUUCCUUCUAGAAAUUCAUGAGAAGAUCAACAGAACAUAAGAUUAAUCCGUUAUUAUCAACAAACAAACCAGUGAAAAUCAAUAUCUUAAACAGAAUGUAUUGUCAAUAUUGCUCGGCCGUACAACCCAGGAAAAGCAACACUUAGAGCUAGUUGGUCUGUCGGGGUCCCGUGACAUGUGGGAGAGUUCUAGUUUUUACGCGCGUUUGUCAACGGUAAAGUUAACGGCAAAUGACAAUUAACGCCGUUAGGACACAUGAUUCACGUAACAACAAACAGCCGUUGAUGAGUCCGGUUCGUGCGGAAAGUCGGUUGUUUUCCCGCCAAAUAUCACGGUCACUAGCAGAUGGUUUUAGGCUAUUUAGAUUUUCAUUUCACUAAUUGACAGAAAGGUUUUUUGCACACAAAAAUUUGACGGUUUAAAUUCAACCUGUAAGAUUUUUGUCUUGUUUUCCAACUGCACUUGUGACUUGUUAGAAACCAAAUAUUUAAAAUUUAAGGGGUACAUAUAUUAGUAUUUACAUUUUCAAGAAAUUAUAGAAAAAUAUAGAGAGAACCAAAUGUUUGAACUUUUAGCAUUAUACAGUUUUUAAGUUAUCUUUCUAUAAUAACAAUAUUAGUAUUAUCAAUUGAGGAAAUUAGAAGAUAAGAGAAAAGAUAAGUUGUGGGUAUGUGCUUUUUAAUACAAAAACGUGUUGAAAAAUAUAGAAAAUGGUGGGAAAAAAGAAUCAUGUGUCCACGGUAAGAAGAAAUCUCUGGCUUUAAGACUAGUCGAAGGCGCGUCAAAGCAGAAGUUGGUCCCACGUGUACCUAUCGACAUGCGAACGACUUUGGUCGGCAUGGCUGGUUUAUUUGUUCAUUUUUAAAGAAGAUACAUUUGGUUCAAAAAAAAAAAAGAUACACAACAUACUCAUAAAUAUUCACCGUCUCAAAUUUAGCCAUAAAUGAUAGUAGAUCAUAACCGUUCUGUUACCAUUAAAUAAAUACUUGUCACUAUUAUAUGGAAGUAUAGUAACGGUAACGGAAGUGUGAUUUACUAGGCAAUAUAAAAUAUCUUAAGAAAUGUUUGAGAGGUUGAAAGUGUCAUGUGAAAUAUAAGAAGGUUCGAGACAUAUUAAAUGGGGAAGACAUGAUAAGUGUCUGCUUGAGUGCUUGUAGUUGUAGCAGGUAACAACGCUGUGUUUUUUCGUCUUUUUAUGGACUCACACCUAUUUUUGAUUACUUUUAUACGUAAUAUUAGACUUGAAUCCGAGAUAAGAGAUGCAAUCUUUAAGCGUGUGUUUUCACAGCUCACAAGAAAAAUGUGAUAUAUAGGCGACCGAUGGCAUAUAGACUUGAAUCCGAGUGCAAUCUUUAAAAAGACUUUGUAUAAUAACAUUUGAUGAGUUUUUCAAACCAAUAUGGAUAAACUAUUAUUGGAUCUAUUUGUUUGGAGGACUUUUUUUUUGUUUCUUGAGAUAAAAAAAAAACCCGCAUCGUCGAGUAACUUAUGUGAUAUCUUGAUAUUUUGAAGUACCGGAAGACUUGAGCCGUAGAUCUCGGCUAGGUUAGAUCUUAAGAAUCAUAGAACAAAAGAGACGAUUAAGAUUUGGUCAAAGACAAAACACGUGAUCACUGCAUGCAACAGUUCUCACUUCUCAAUGGUCAGAAUUACAGGAUUAAUCAAAUAAACCAAUGAUAUGAUUCCAAAUUUUCUUGUUUAUAUAAUUCCAUUCACAUUUGAUACUAGUGGAUGACUAAAUUAUUUAAAAUGUAAGCCGGAAUUAAGAAAAGUAUGAAUUAAAAAGUAGUAAUUAUCAAAAGACAUUUCAAAAGAAGAGUGUGGCGUGGGACUAUAACUUGGCUUGUAAUUUCAGACAUUUGAACCGGCCAUUUUUUAUAAUCCACUUUUCUUAAAUAUUUGACUCACACAUUUAGAAGAUCGUGACAUCUUCUAAUUGCUUGUAUCACUAUAAAACAUAUACUUAGUAUUUAUAUGUCGCUGUUACGGUCGUAUCGUAUAUUACAGCUGUAGCCAACAUUUAUAAAAAAAAAAAUCAUAAAAUUUGUUCUUCUGACAAGAUGAAUUUUUAUAGUUUUGAACUUGAACUUUCCGUUUAUCUUUAGCCACGAGCUCAGAACCAGAAAGCCGACGAGUUAGCUAAAAGAACUCUCCGUUUAUCUUUACUUUCAGCUUGUAAUGGGCCCCUAGUGGGCUAAACUGCCGUUUUUAUUAAGUUUAAUGAAAUCCUUAGUUGAACAAAAAAAAGAACUUGAACUUUAGAUUUGAUGAUUACAGCGACAACUAACUGCCUGAUCACCAUCAUAUACCAAGAUUAGUCGUUGUAUUUGUAUACGAAAAAUGAUAGCUUGUUAAUUUUUUAAAAGGUAGAACAACUACCUUUAGUUUAAAAGAUAUAUGGAUUUCACUUUUUGUAACUAGUUAAUUUUAUGAAGAAAUAAAAUAUGCUUGCUCUUAAGAAUGAGUACAAUCUUGAAGGGAAGCUCCAGGUUAUCAAUUAACGGCAUCUUUGAUGCACGUUUUGACAGAUGAUCAGCAUACUGCAGGUAUAAUGAUGUGAUUACAUUACUGAAUUUAAUUUCUCGGCCAUUUUAGGUGUAAGAAUAAAUGUAUUUUUCCCACCAAUUGUUAGUUAUGCUAGAACGAUUUCCACUUAAUUAUUGUCAUUUUAAAAUUAUAAAUGCAAUUCUUUCACUUUCUUAUUUUUUCAGUCAUUCUAUUGAUAUUUAUACUAUACAUUUUAAAAGAUUACACGAGCUUUAUUACUAGAAUAAUAUCGCAAGGAAGAUUUACUACAAGCCUAGCGGCUAAACAACUAUUUCACACCAAAGCAGACAAUAUAUUGCAAGAAGUAAUAAAUAUGUGUUAAGCCUUCAAGGAAAAUCACAAGCUAAUUCAUGAUGCAUCACAUGGGAUGUUCAAACCUAAACCACUUAAUCCUCUUGUUUGCAUAAACCAAGUAGUCUACCUCAUUUAGUUAUGCAGUGUAUAUAACUAUAUACUAAUAUAUACAUAUAUACACUGUUUGUGUUUCAAAAUAUAUAUAUACACACUGUUUAAAAGUUUGUUUAUCAUUUCCAUUGCAAUUUUAACAUCUCCCAAAUAGAAAACAAAUUAUAACCGACAAAGUACAAAGUCUACUGUCUACAUAUGGAUUAUACAACCCCACCUGAUCGACUUAGUCAUUUGAAACAAUCAACUCUGAAAGGCAGAAUUAAGAGAAUCGGCCUCCAGACAUUACUGCGAUAGAUUCCACAAACUAAUUAAAUAUAAAGGCAGCAACCAAAAUUCAAAUAUGUUUAUAUCAUAAGAAAGAGUCUAAAUUAUAAACCGACUUUUGACAUUUCACAAAAGAAUGGCAUUAUCUAGUGCAUUUGUACUCAAUGUUAUUAAUAAUCAAAAAAACGUUGACAAAGCUUAAAAAUUAAUACUAACUCCGAGUGACCUGAGAGUGUCUACCUAUACUACGUCUAUACAACGCUAAACGUGAUCGUAUACAUUUAGGGCCCUGACUGGUUCAAACGCAGCGGUUGCGGUUGCGGCUGCGGGCGUUUGCGGAUGCGGGUGGUUGCGGUUUCUAGCGGUUUUAAGAGAUUUGUACGACUGGUUCUGCGGUUAAAAAUUGGUGCGUUUACGGGAUAAUUAUGACUGGUUAACUACCAAAUACAACCGCGGUUAAAUAAUAAAUUAACAAUAUUUACAUUUUAUAUAAUUAUAAAAAUAUCAAAAAUCAUAAUAUUAUAAUAAAUAUGUAAAUUAUAUUUUCAAAGUUAUAGUUUUAAAAUUUUAAAAUUAUAGAAAAUAUUUUUAUUUUAAAAUUUUAUAAUAUUAAUUAAAAUAUAAUAGAUAUAUUUUAGUAUUUUUAUAAUUCUAUUUUAAAAAAUUUAUUGAAUAUUUUUAUUUUUGUAUUUAUAAGGUUUUUAAAGAAAAAUAAAAACCGCAAACGCUAGCUGAAACCAGCUUUUGAUUUUAAGAGGUUCGGAGCGGUUUGAAGCGAUUUGUAACGGUUUGGAUGAUUGUUUUGAAACGCUGUCAACCGUUACCAACCGCAAAAGCUGUGUUUGCGGAUGGUAGCGGGGAAACCAAUCAAGCUCUUAAAACGAUAACAAAUCCACUAGUAAAUACUAGUACUAAUUUUUCAAGCUCUAAUACUCUCUUCGUUUCAUAUUAAAUAUUAAAUGCCGUUUAAAAUAAAAUUUUCAUUACAAAAUAAAUAUUUUAAAAAUUCAUUGCAAAUUUAUUAAAUUUAUAUGCUUUUAUGACUUUAUAUUUUCCAGUUUAUUUUUAUACUAAUUGAAAUAUGGUUAAUUAUAUAGAUAGGAAUAUUUUUAUUUAGAAAAUAUAUAAAAUUAAUUUUCACAAUUACAGAGCAUUAAGCUUUAAACCCACACAUACAUACAUUAUAGUAUUAAACCCACGAACCCAUAUAUACAUUAUAGUAUUAUACAAUGAGAUUUGAUUGCACCCACACUCUCCCUCAAAUAUGUGUUUCCGAUUCACAUGGCACUCACAAGACACAAUCAAUGUUUUUAGGUUCUUUGUCUACCAAAACAUCAUUAACCAAAUGGUUGUGCCUUGUUGUAUUGGUAAAUGUAUUUAUUUUCGUUUGGUAAAAUGUCAUUUUUAUUUUACCAACGAAAACAUUUUCGUUUUGAAAUUGUUCCCUUGAAGCUAGAAGUAAUAUACACUCUUGGUUAAGAUAUUAAUUUUCAUUAGGUACCGUCUUAAACAAAUGUAACAUUCCAGUUAUCUAAAGAAACGGUUAACAAUGGGGGUGAUUGGUUGGGCUGUAGAAAGUGACUUUAGCUUUAAUUUUCAUCUACAACCUUAAAUACUAUCAAUCAUGCUUUAUCUUGGUUUUUAAAGCUACAACCAAAAAAUUAAAACUACAGCAAAAACACACAAAAAAUGGCUGUAAACAUCUUAUUUUCUAAAGCCCCAUUUUUUUAGCUGUAGGAAAUUUUAAAGCUACAUCAUUUAAAGCUAAAUCAAAAAUCCUACAGACAAAAUAUUAAAGUAAAUUUUCUACAAUUACAACCCAACCAAUCACCCCCAACAUGUUGAAACAUCUUUUUAUUAUCAGGAGAUUAGAGCUAUAAAGUUAGAUGCCGGACGAUGUAACUAUCUUAUCUAUUUCAAAAUCACGAAUUCAUUUUUUCGUUCUUUUCAGAAAUUGAUUGAAAGCUUUUGGGGGAAAAAAUAAGAUAGAAGAAAAUACUAACUGGGCCUUAAAAUGGCAGAAAGCCCAAGCUUAUGAAAAAAGUCAACUAGUUCAAACCGAUAUGGUUCGUUGUUCUUGAUUCCUGGGACUCCUCUUGCUCCUUGGGAUAUUCGUUUUCUCUCUGUUAUCCGCACGAAAGUGUGCCGAUCAAUCUCUUCACCAUCUGAUGAUCUCUAUAAUUUUUUUACUCUGUCUCGAAACGACCAGGUUGCAUCAGAAGCUAAUGUGGGCACGCGCAGAUCAAUCCCUGAAGCUAUCAUAUCUGGAUCCUAUUAACAAGGUUACCAUAUUUAUCCAAUACUCCUAUCUAUGUAACUUCUUUUUGGUAAAACUAUAUGUGUAACGUUUUGUGUGAAAGUGAUGAGUCUUGUGGUUAAUAUACACAUAAUGAAUUGAAAAUUAAAAUUAGUGCGUGGGAAUAAUUGUUGCUUAAGGACCAAGGUUACAUAUAUAUAUAUAUAUAUAUGUGCUUUACAGGGUGUGUGAAGAUCUCGUAAAAAGCACUUUGACUAUCUGUAACUAAAACCAGGUUUGACUUAUCACUUUAAUCCUUAAUUGUAUAGCUUUAUCUUAUCUUUAAGUGAGCUGAAUGCAUGUUAGAGAAAUGUUUUUAAUCCAACUUUCAAUCCUUCCUCCUUUAGAGAAAUUUAGGAUAAUCACUCUCAGUUCUGAAAUCACUCGGAACCUUUUCAGAAUUAUCACUGGGAAAGCAAUCGUGAUUUGUGAUGGAGCUUAGGACUUAGUCGUAAGAUUGAUCAACUAACCAAGGACUAUAAAACUUUACAUGAACUAGCUAUCGAAAGCCCGUCUAGCUCAGUUGGUAGAGCGCAAGGCUCUUAACCUUGUGGUCGUGGGUUCGAGCCCCACGGUGGGCGUUUCCUUUUUCUUUCCUCUCUAGUCGACAUUUUUUUUUAUUUUUUCAAAUGAAAACCUUAAUAUAUAGUAGUCACCAGUUGCUCUAAACUCCAAUUUGGUAAACUCAAUGGAGCUUUCACAUUUUCUGCAUUGACUCCUUAUCUUAACUUGAAUCCUACUACUACUAAGAUAAGCGUCGUUGAACAUGUUAUAUCCUAAGACAUCAACAUACUUCUUCAUAUUGUGAUCCCAUCUUGUUUUGAGUCUUGUGGAGUAUGUUCUCCCUCUUUGUCACAAGUUAGAAUCUGUGCUUUGCCCGCCUCUUUCUCCCAAUCAAUCCUUGCAAUAAAAAUGAGCAACGUCGAGAAACAAACUGAUGCUCCAACCAAAAACCCUAUCAAGAAUCCUACAAGACCUAGUUUAGCUUUGAACGCCAAACUCACCCCUAACGGCAAAGCCAACAGGUAAAACCCACCAAUAUUCGCAUACAUUCCAAGCAAUGGCUUUGCCGUUCCACGAACAAUCUCUCCACAUACCAAUAAAGGGAAGUUUAUAACCUCAACAACCGCCAUUAUCAACAUCAGCUUCUUCACACCGUUUAUGAUCAUUAAGUCAUUGUGAGCGUACAAAGACCCCCAUACACCUCUGCAUGCUAUCAUCACUAAAGCUCCUACGCAUCCCGAAAAAACACCCACAACGAGUGUAGUGUAAGCUGCUCUAUAAGCUCCUUUUGGAUUAUUCGCGCCGAGCUCGUUAGACACUCGCGUAGCCACGCACGUGCCUAAAGAGAGCAUCACAGCGUAAAGCAAGUAGUCGAAGUUGAGAAGUAUGACCAAGGUCGAUACUGACUCCUCAGGGUUUGGUAACCUCCCGGCUAAUAUGACCAAGAUCUCGUAGCACCACCACUCGAGGCACACGGUGAGACAACACGGUCCACUAAGCUUGAUCAGAUUAAGCCAGUCUUGACCACGUUGGUCCAACAACCCACCUUGUUUCCAUUUGUUAUCUUUCAAUCCCUCAGCGACUAUCACGUACCCCGUUAGAAGAAUCACGACGAUAAGAUCUGUGAUCCAAACCGCCAUUGCAACUCCUUGGAUUCCCUUUGCUCUAGAGAGGAAUAUGUUGAUGGGGAUAUGAAGAGAAGUGGCUGCAGCUGUGGUGUACAUGAUGGGGAGCGUAACGCCUUGUGAGCUUAAAUAAGCCUUAAGGGGACAAAGCAAAGAGAGAACUGGUAGAUCAGGAAGGAGGUUGAUAAGGUAUCUCUUGGCUAUGUAGGAUAUGUCUUCUUUUUGACCAAAACUUGUGAGGAUCUUGUCAACGUUGAGCCACAAGAGAGAUAUAGGGAUCGAGAUCAAGAGAAGCAAGAACACCGCCAUCAAAAGGGUUUUGUGGAGAAGCUUAAAGUUCUUGGCUCCGAAAGCUUGCCCACAAAUGGGUUCCAUUGCAGCAGAGAUUCCGUAUAAAACAGCAAAACCAGUAGCGUUCGCAAAGGAAAACCCUAACGAGCCACCGGCUAGGUUAUGCUUGCCUUGACGGCCAAGAAACACAGAUGUACUUGUUAUCUUACCAAACCACAACAAGUUCAUAGCCACCAAUGGUAGGCCUAUUCUCAUUUGUACCUUGAGCUCAUGAAAAAUGCUCUGCAUCAACGUCUUUGAACAACACCCUUUGGAGACUUUCAAUCCAGAAGUCUCUAAAGAACACCCUUCAGAGGCUUCUGGAUGAAAAGUUUCUAACUUCGAUGUCUCUGACAUUUGUGUGUGUAGAAGAAGAGGAUAAUUUGGGGAAAGAGAAGUUAAUAAGUGAAGGAAUAAAAGGAAGAAAAAAACUUUGGGAGGUUUCAGCCAAUUUUUAGCAUGGCUUUGAGAAUUGCAUAGAUAAUUGCUUGCUUGCUUGUUUGUUGAUAAGAUCAACAACUCUGCAGGUGGAAAAUGGCUUUCAUGUUUUCGUGGAGGACUGUAAAUUGUAAAUUAAAAGCAUGGUUUGCGUGAGAGGUUGCGAUUUUUUGGAGAAAGUUAUUGUAACGCACAAGAAAAAGGGGUGGAAACAACUUGGUGGGUUUCCUAUGUACGUCUUAGUGCAUUGAUGAUGAUGAAACCAUACCAGUCCCAUUUGCAAAAAAAAAAAUAUAUAUUUUUGAUUUUUGUUAUUUAAUCUUUAAAAAUUGAGCAGCUAAUAUUAUAAAUAUCAUCUUCUUAAAGAUUUUCUAAACUUGAUUCCAGAUUUUGUUUCAGCUACUAUGCAAAAUUCUAUGAUGGUCAAAAGUAUAACUAUAAUGCACGGAUUAAGACCCCGAUUAAUACUGGCAAACUGAUAGUUGAGCUAUUCCAUCUCUUCUUAGUACCGACUAGAAACUAUACUUUUUAUUUAUUUACAUAACUAUAAAUUUAUGAAACAAUAGAACACAUUAAAAAUACGAGGAAAAGUAAUAAAUAAUAAGAGUCAAAAGACAAGAAAAGAGAGGAUAUGCAACCUUGGCUUUCUAUUUUUCUUUAUAGAAAAGCAACAAAUAAUUGCAAUAAGGCAUAUAUAACUGUGUGAUGAAAAUUGAAAACAUCAUGAAUUUAAUAUACAAACUCCUUUUACGGAUCACUUGAUAUUUCAACUUUAUUUUGGUGCUUCUCAAAAGAGCUUUCGUCUAAAUUCUAUAAGAACCAAAAGAGAAAAAUAAAGGGUUUAAAAACAAUUCGACCAAAAAAGCUCAAAAAAAUAAAAAUAAAAUAAUGGUUCGACUGGUUGGUACCUAUUUUUUUGAUAAAAAUAAUAAAAUUCAUUACCAAACUUUUAAGGUUUUUUUACAGAACAACAGAAGAACCAAAAACCAGAAAAACUGAAAAUAAUUUAAACAUAGACUCAGAUCUUGCUAAGAGAAUGAACCGACUACAAGUAAAACAACUAACUACCCGGUAAAAUCUGGCAUUUCCAAUAAACAGUCCUUAAAGAUCUAUGUUGUCAAGAACUGCUCACGUAGCCCUUCUAAUCUGCAACCUCCAUGAACAGACAACGAUACUCGUGACCAAGUGCACCCGCUCACACUGAAUUGAGCUUUGUUCGGAUAAGAAACCACCAAAAGCCGCCACAGAUCACUGAACCUACACCAAAAAGACAGAGAAAGCAAGCACCACAUUGAGUUAAAAUGGACAGGAGGCAGUUAUUGAGAAAACAGAUUAUUUAUUUAUUUAAAAAACUAUUUUUUGAGAAAAUUUAGAAAGAAAAGAUAUGACCCGUUUAUUUAUUUAUUUAUUUUUUAGGUAACAUGAUAAGGAUUUUCGCUGUUUUACCAUUAAAGUUAACAGUAUUAAAUCGGUGGGUGAACAUGAGUGACAAACUAUCAGUGUUUAUUUCAUACUAGAUUUUUUAACCGCGCUACGCGCGGAUAAGAUAUUAUAUGUAUUUCUCAAUUCUAAAAAAUAAUGUAUAAUAUUGUAUUAUAUUAUUAUUUAAAGAAUAUAAAAUAAAACUAUAUAACAUAAAUAUAUUUUUUAUAUUUUCUUUGUGGAAAUCAUUAUGUUGUUUGAUUGUUGUACUUAAUUCACAUAUUUGCAUAGAUAUUUGUGAUAGAUGAAUAACUAUAUUUUUAUUAACAGUAAAUAAUAUAUAUUUAUUAUAUAAUAUAAGAAAAAUUGAAUUAUUUACUUUUUAACAAACUUGUCUCAUGGGGACUCGGUUAUAGACAUAUAAUAUUCGAAUGAAACAUUUUUACACUUAUCAAUCUUCUUAACAAUCAAGAAACAAAUCUGAAUAUCAAAGCAAUAUCUCAUACGAUCUCUUUGUGGAAUAACUGCUAUGAAGAAAUUGAAUUUAUGCAUCAAAAAGGACUGGAAAUGGAUGUGCAUAUGUAUUAUCUAAGUGAGCUUUACAAAAAACUAUAUGUAGUUCAUAUAUCAUUUAUGUCCAUCCUAUUUUUUGUCCAUCAUUUCUUAAACAUCUUGAAAUAAGUAAUGCUAAUUAAUAAUAAACUUUUUGCUCACAAAAUAAAAAUAAAAUUUGUCUAAUUAUCGCUUAAUUUGUCUAACUGAUAUAUGUAUUUCUCAAUUCUAAAAAAAUAAUGUAUAAUAUUGUAUUACAUUAUUUAAAGAAUAUAAAAUAUGACUACAUAACAUAAAUAUAUUUUUUAAAUUUUCUUUGUGGAAAUCAUUAUGUUGUUUGAUUGUUGUACUUGAUUCACAUAUUUGCAUAGAUAUUUGUGAUAGAUGAAUAACUAUUUUUAUUAUCAGUAAAUAAUAUAUAUUGAUUAUAUAAUAUAAAAAAAAUAAAAUUAUUUACUUUUUAAACUAACAUGUCUCAUGUUGGGGACUCGGUUAUAGACAUAUCAUAUUCGAAGGAGACAUUUUUACAGUUAUCAAUCUUCUUAACAUUGAAAAAACAAAUCUACAUAUCAAAACAAUAUCUCGUAGGAUCUAUUUGUGGAAUAACUACUCUGAAGAAAUUGAAUUUAGACAUCAAAAAUGACUGGAAAUAGAUGUGCAGAUAUGUUAUCUAAGUCUACUUCACAAAGUACUAUUCAUAGUUCAUAUAUCAUUAAUGUCCAUCCUAUUUUUUUGUCCACCAUUUCUUAAACAUCUUGAAAUAACUGAUGCUAAUUAAUAAUAAAUUUUUUGCUGGAAAAAAAAUCAAAUUUGUCUAAUUAUCGCUUAAAUAUUUUAUUAAUAUGGUCUAAGAAGCUUUUAAGUGAUAUCAUAGUUUAAUUUAUUGUUUUUUUUGUUAAUUUUUAGAGGUUUUUGUAUUUAAGAUUUUUUCCAUAUUAAGCUUCUAUUUCUUUCAUAGAAUUGAUAUAUAUAUAUAUAUAUAUAUAUAUAUAUAUAUAUAUCUUAAAAAUUACCAUCAAAUCAGUUUUACUUAUUUAUUAUUUUGUUUUAAUGAAAAUACACUUUUUAAAUAAUUUAAUUUAAAAUAAAAUUAUAUAUUAAUUUGCUGUAUUUUAACAAUUUCAUUGAUUUAAUUAAUUUGCUUUGGUGGAUAACUUAAAAAGUUUUCAUAUGAAUCGGGGAAAGCAAGCUUAUGUUGUUAUAUUAUAUUUAUUUUGUGUAUAUAGAAUCUAUAUAUAAUGCUAGUGUAAUAAAGAAAGAACAUUAUUUUUUUGUAACUUCAAAAUGAUACAUUAUUACAAUUUGAAAUGAAUCAAAAUUGAAUAAAAUGGUAAUUAAAUAUUUGUAAAUCUAAUUGUUUAGUUGGAUUCUCAUGAAAAAAAAAUCGAUUGGUUAAACAAAUGCUUCAAAAUUUGUUGUGGUAUUGUUUUGUCUAUAAAUUAUAAAAUUUAUUGAAUUAAUAUAUUUAAUUAUUGCAUCCUUAAAUAAUAUUUUAUUAAGACAUUAUAAAAAUAUGUUUUGAGUUGUUUUGUCAAAUUGUACAAAAAUCUAUGCUUUUUCAUAUUUGUAACUUAAAAAAGAUACAUUAUGACAAUUUGAAAUUAAUCAAAAUUGAAUAAAAUGGUAAUUAAAUAUUUUUAAAUCUAAUUAUUUUUUUUAUCUUGUUUAGUUGGAUUCUCAUGAAAAAAAAUCGAUAGGUUAAACAAAUGUUUCAAAAUUUCUUGUGUUAUUGUUUUGUCUAUAAAUUACAAAAUUUAUUGAAUUAAUAUAUUUAAUUAUUGCACCCUUAAAUAAUAUUUUAUUAAAACAUUAGAGAAGUAUGUUUUGAGUUGUUUUGUCAAAAUUUUACAAAAAUCUAUGCUUUUUCAUAUUUGUCACAAAAAUUUAUAUGUUAAACUUACUUUUACAAAAUUCUUAACUUUGUCACGAAAAAAAAAAUCUAUGAUUUUUCAUAUUUGUCAACGUUCUCACACUUUCUAAGAAUAUAUUAGCUUAGUCACUUUUUUUUUUUUUACAAAACAAAGUAUCGGAGUUUUGAAAGUUAAAUUCUUAUUAUUGUAAAUGUACAUAAGAGUUUGUGAUUAUAUACUUAGUGGUUCUUGUAUAUGUGUCCAAGAAAGUUUCAAUGACUUAGUGGUAACUGUCCUAUAUAUAUAUAUAUAUCAUACUAACCCGGGUUCGAUUCUCACCUUCGCAUUGUUUUUUUAUUUUUUACGAAAAAUAAAUGAGAUGACAUGGCAAUUUCGGGUUCUCUGAUUGGUUGAUUUUUCUAUCCUAUGUGGACACCCUCUCCAUGGCUUAUAUCUCCCUUUUAGAAAAAAAUCGAUAGGUUAAACAAAUGUUUCAAAAUUUCUUGUGUUAUUGUUUUGUCUAUAAAUUACAAAAUUUAUUGAAUUAAUAUAUUUAAUUAUUGCACCCUUAAAUAAUAUUUUAUUAAAACAUUAGAGAAGUAUGAUUUGAGUUGUUUUGUCAAAAUUUUACAAAAAUCUAUGCUUUUUCAUAUUUGUCACAAAAAUUUAUAUGUUAAACUUACUUUUACAAAAUUCUUAACUUUGUCACGAAAAAAAAAAAAUCUAUGAUUUUUCAUAUUUGUCAACGUUCUCACACUUUCUAAGAAUAUAUUAGCUUAGUCACUUUUUUUUUUUUACAAAACAAAGUAUCGGAGUUUUGAAAGUUAAAUUCUUAUUAUUGUAAAUGUACAUAAGAGUUUGUGAUUAUAUACUUAGUGGUUCUUGUAUAUGUGUCCAAGAAAGUUUCAAUGACUUAGUGGUAAUUGUCCUAUAUAUAUAUAUCAUACUAACCCGGGUUCGAUUCUCACCUUCGCAUUGUUUUUUUUAUUUUUUACGAAAAAUAAAUGAGAUGACAUGGCAAUUUCGGGUUCUCUGAUUGGUUGAUUUUUCUAUCCUAUGUGGACACCCUCUCCAUGGCUUAUAUCUCCCUUUUAGAAAAAAAUCGAUAGGUUAAACAAAUGUUUCAAAAUUUCUUGUGUUAUUGUUUUGUCUAUAAAUUACAAAAUUUAUUGAAUUAAUAUAUUUAAUUAUUGCACCCUUAAAUAAUAUUUUAUUAAAACAUUAGAGAAGUAUGAUUUGAGUUGUUUUGUCAAAAUUUUACAAAAAUCUAUGCUUUUUCAUAUUUGUCACAAAAAUUUAUAUGUUAAACUUACUUUUACAAAAUUCUUAACUUUGUCACGAAAAAAAAAAAAAUCUAUGAUUUUUCAUAUUUGUCAACGUUCUCACACUUUCUAAGAAUAUAUUAGCUUAGUCACUUUUUUUUUUUUUACAAAACAAAGUAUCGGAGUUUUGAAAGUUAAAUUCUUAUUAUUGUAAAUGUACAUAAGAGUUUGUGAUUAUAUACUUAGUGGUUCUUGUAUAUGUGUCCAAGAAAGUUUCAAUGACUUAGUGGUAAUUGUCCUAUAUAUAUAUAUCAUACUAACCCGGGUUCGAUUCUCACCUUCGCAUUGUUUUUUUUAUUUUUUACGAAAAAUAAAUGAGAUGACAUGGCAAUUUCGGGUUCUCUGAUUGGUUGAUUUUUCUAUCCUAUGUGGACACCCUCUCCAUGGCUUAUAUCUCCCUUUUAGUAUAGUAUAUUCUUAACUUUGUCACGAAAAAAAAAAUCUAUGAUUUUUCAUAUUUGUCAACGUUCUCACACUUUCUAAGAAUAUAUUAGCUUAGUCACUUUUUUUUUUUUUACAAAACAAAGUAUCGGAGUUUUGAAAGUUAAAUUCUUAUUAUUGUAAAUGUACAUAAGAGUUUGUGAUUAUAUACUUAGUGGUUCUUGUAUAUGUGUCCAAGAAAGUUUCAAUGACUUAGUGGUAAUUGUCCUAUAUAUAUAUAUCAUACUAACCCGGGUUCGAUUCUCACCUUCGCAUUGUUUUUUUUAUUUUUUACGAAAAAUAAAUGAGAUGACAUGGCAAUUUCGGGUUCUCUGAUUGGUUGAUUUUUCUAUCCUAUGUGGACACCCUCUCCAUGGCUUAUAUCUCCCUUUUAGUAUAGUAUAGAUAUCAUGAAUGGUGAUAGUGGACAUGAGCCUAUAUCAGAUAAUUCAGAUUUUAAAAAAAUUAUUAUGCAAGAUUUGCCGCUAAUCAUAUACUACUUCUUUCAAAAUUAAAUCAAAGAAUUCGAAGUCCGUGAAAUGGGAAUCAUAUGCAUGAAAAUAUGAUAUCAUCGUACUGAUAUGAUUGCCACUCUUCGUCGAAUUAAAAGAUCGCAAGAUUGCAACUUUAGCUGAAACAUUUUCUCAGAAGGAUAAUUUAGAAAUAACUACUGCUUUAGAAUCAGAGACGUUUAGACUUUUAUACGUUAAUCACAACUUGACAAGUAUGCAACAAAGGCUCGUUUAUUUGUGCCGGACCAUCAAAGAGUAUUUCAACGUCUGUCCGACACAUUAGGCAACAAAACAUGUUACAUUACUGCCGAGUCGAUCCAUUUGAAUAAAUAGGAAAAAUAAAAGUAAAAAUGAGCUUUCUUUUCUAACCUACACAACAUUAAGUGAGUCUAUAUAUGACUGACUGUGUGAAGCUCAAACAAUUGUAUUGCAUCACUACUGAGAGCAUUUCUUGACACCGCGGGCAAAAUCAAACAUGUGAUCCUUGACUAACGAACAUAAUGAUGCUUCUGUUGAUAUUUCGUUUGAUAUAUAUAAAGCUUUUUAAUCAAAAUUAUUGGAGAAAGUAAAAAGAAUAUUUUUGCUGAAAUAACUUAUACCUAUAAUAAUUUCUAGAAAAACUAAAGUUCAAAUUUAAAUUAGGGUCUCUUUAAAUUAUUGGAGAACGUAAAGAAAUUACAUGUAUCUUCGGAGAAGUACGAUCUGGGAAAGCAAAACCUGACUACAAAACUCAUGUCUUCAUAUAUAUUUUAAGUUAUCUUGCAGUUACGUACUAGUAUUUUAUAGUAAUAUGAUUAAGAAGAGAUAAUUAAAAAUUGCUGGUUGGCAGCAUUAAGACAAUUGCUGUCCGGAAACAUUUUUGUGAGCCAAUAGCGGAAGAGAGAUUACCGUUCAAUAUAUAUUUAAAAUCUUAAUUGAAUUUAACCCUCGACGAGCUCCUGAAAAGUUGGACGACUAAACUUAUAAUUAUUGCACAAACCAAUAUAAUCAAAAGACCCUUAUUGUUCAUAAUGCAAGAUUCCAUUCAGACUGUGUUCAACAUUUUAGUUAAGAUGAGAGUUUCUUUCUAUCCUAAACCUAAACUGAUCCAAAAACGCCACAAUUUGUAUACUAGAUUAAAAACUGAACUCAAACAAAAACUAUUACAUGUUAGAUUUCGUUUCACUUCGACCACUGUUAUUCCUAAAUCAAAGCUCCAAACAAGCAUAUUUUUAAUAUCCAACAAUCAUAUUGUUAUAUCAUAUCAGUAGCCUUUUUUUUUAGAAGUAUCAGUUUUGCAAACUAUAAUUUCUUUAAUAGAACCUAACUAUUAGCCCAUGUUUGGAGUACUAUCCACCCCAAACAAGAACACAGUUAGAGAUUUUAAUAUUUUAAUGGCGAUCUACUCAAAAGAGUGUAAUUGUAUCUAUGAAAUGUGUAUGUAUAUAUACGGCAGAUAUAACUUUACUGAUAACACUGAGAUUCCUAAUGGAAAGAACCCUUGAAUCAUGUGAGGUUUCUUUGAGCUUUAGUUUGUCGUUAGCUUAAUUUGCUCCAACUAGGCCAACUAAAUGGUCCUCAGAGAACCCACUUAAUCACUAAUUAACCCACAUGUCUCAAUGUUAAAAUUGCUCUCUUAAUCUCAAACUCUAAAUACACAAUUCCAAAAUAAAAAAUAUAAACUUAUUUACUUUUCUUCGAGAGAAGGUUGCUAACUUAUUUUGGAGGAUUAUUGAUUAUAUCAACUAUAAAUGAUUUAGCAUUCACUUGACCUAAUAGAGAGAAAAGAAAUUCACUUCAACGUUUAUAUACACAUUUAUUUACUUACAUAUGGUGGGAGGGGACCAUUAAAUGGGUUCGUGACAAAAGCAUAAGCACGAUGUGAUUUGCGGAAUUAGGUGUCUUCCACGUGGGACUUCAUUUCAAUUUAAUCAUCUAGCUUAAUUUACUAACUUUUAACUUAAUCUGUUUAUCAGUUAGUAUUACUUGGAGAUCAGGAAUAAACUUUCCUAAAAACUGUAUAAAGUCCAUGUAUCUAUAUGAUUCACACAAAGAGGCGUUAAGAUUUAAGUAUAUGUUGGCCUGGAUGAUGAGGUACGUUUUAUAUGUUUUCAUGAUUUCUCGUUUGGGAAAGAAUUAAUUAUAAAUUUUAUGGGUUCACUUUUAGUAAAUGAUACACAAUGAGUUGUAGUAUAACAUAUUGAUUUUACUAACAGUCUAGCUGAAUUCCAAAAUGAGGAAGUUUUUCGGUAAAGAGUUCUUCGCAAGUCUAAACGCUGAGAUCGAAGUUCAAGUAGCCAAGUAAAAAUUUCACACGGUGAAGUUGUAAUUCAUUUUUAUAGCCAACCUGUGUCUUUAACCCUAAAUGCAAAGACAUCAUGCCACAGUGUACAGCUUAACAAUUGUUUAUAUCUUAAAUCUAAAACUACAAUUUCUAUAUUUGAACCAAUGUAUUAAAAGUAUCAUGAUAUGAAAAGCAUCAAAGCUAAAUACAAUUUAUGUAAGAUACUGUAGCAUAUUAAUAAAGGCUAGUCACCUGGAGUAUUGGAUAAUGGCACCGCUGGUAGCAAAACAUAUCAAUAUAUCAGUGUAAUAAUACCAAAGCAUCUAUAUACAGACUGAGAGUAUGACGUCUAAAAUGGUUAACACAUGUUCAUGCCUCGGUUACUAACCCAAAUAAUUUAACUAACCAAUCAACUAUUAUCCGUAGAAUUCGGGAUUGAAAGCAAGCUGUCCUGUUCUCUUUUUGAGAGGGCUCGUGAACUUACAACUUUGGUUUGAUAGGUUCCGUGCCUUUUGAAACUAAAAUAAAAUAAUUAGUACUGACCUCAUUUCCCAAUAAUAUUAUUGAUUUUGGUAAUUGGAUAAAAAAAUGUUAACAGCCAAUCUAAUUAUUGGAAACAAUUCCUUUAUGUUAACUUCUCUGAGAAUAUCAAAUACUAUUGUACUAACAAUAUGAAAUAGAAGCACACCAUUUGAUAAGUUAGUUGUUUCAUGUACUGUCGUCAACUUUGUUUUAGGUUUAUUAUAGGAGUAGAAAAAUUAAAAAGUGUUGCUCAAAAAGGAGAAGAAUUAAAAAGAAACGUCUGUAUAUUUCUAUGAUAUUGUACACGUUCACAUUUGUUUAGCAUAAUCUGCAAUGUAACGUACAUAUAUAGGUUUCAUGUUUUCUGUUUUAAAUGAACCAAGUUAAAGUCAACCAUGAGUAAAUUUAUCUGUAACUAUAUUUUGGUGAUCAUGCUUAUCAAUACCAACAUGAUACACCUUGGUUACUACAUUAUCAGCACAAUCUUCGCUUUACCUGUCCACCUCAAAGAAUCUGAGCUGAAACCCAAGAUAUAAAGUAACCCCCGCACAAUUCGAUUAUUCGAUAGAAAAUUGGUAUCCGAGAUUUUUGCGAAUUUACGUUCUCAAAAAUGAUAAGUUGUCAAACACACGCAAGCACGGUAACUACCACACAUGGAUUUGGUUUUCAGAAACUUGCUAGUUUUUACUGGUUGAUAUAGAUCGCAAAAUUGUCUCGAUGUAAAAAAGAAAGGAGAGGAGUGGGAGGAGAAAGGGCACGUGGAGCAUGAGAGAGCCGACAAAGAGCAUCUCUUUAAGACAUUGGAGUUUGUGUUUAAUCUCUCUCCCAACAGUUCAUGCGAUGCCUCUCUCUCUCUGUUUCUCUCUUUCUCUCGUGGUUUUGGAGUUGUCAGCGACAUCUUCGCGUCUUCUUGUUAUUUCACUCUCUCCAAUGCACAAUCUCUAUCUAUAUAUAUAUACAUAUGUGUAUUCACAAACUUCAAACCCCCCCCCCCCCACAACUUUAGAUCUAGUUGAUAUUGACAAAUGGAUCGUUUGACUAUCAACUAUGUAGACACUACAUUUUAUAUAGAGACCAGCUUAUAUUCAACGCACAGCGCUACAUCUUAUAACCGUGAUGAUCGUCAAGUACUAAAAUAACAUUACUAAAAUGGCUAUUUUCUUUCAUGAAAUCUAAAAGUUUUAAAUAAUAUUCAUCAGCACAAUGACAUUGAUCAUCACACCAUCAUAUUACCAAAAAAAAAUCAAUGAUAUGCUCAAGAUGCAUUCCAACAUAUUUUUUGCAAUUGAUAUUUUUUGUACUUAUCACUGAACGAACUAGCUGUAAGUUUGUUUGUUGGUAUGUAUACAUGCUUAUCAGAUAACCAUAUUAACUUAAAAAAAGAUAACCAUAAUAAUUAUAUAGCUACAUGCAAUUAUAUAGAGGAUAGUCAAUUAAUCAUUUGUAUAUGUAUUACAAAAUAAUUAUCAUUAUAAUUAUAUUAUCAGAUGCCAACUUUCUUUCUGCCUGAUAAUUAAAAAGUUUAAACCAUUGGACUCUUUUUGCAUUCAAAAUGUAAUGCGUCAUGUUUAUAACAUAUGUGUUGAUGUAAUGAAAUUAAUGGUUGUAGAACAAUCACUAGCUGGCAACUUUACCUGCUGAUCUAAACAAUGAUUCAUAACAGUUCAAGGGAUCACAAAGUUUACUAUCCAAAGACUGCAUCAUUUUUUCCUAUCAAAUUUUGAUUGGCCUAAUAAUGACUUACUAAGUGAUGUAACAUUUAAGGUUAAGUAGGAAAGAGCGAGGAAGUGGGGACCAAAAACACUGCCCAUACAUAGAAGGAAGGAAGUCACAUUCAAAAUUCGUAAUAAGCACAAUAAAAACAAAAUAUAAUGUAUUUAUUUAACCCUAGGUUACCAAUCACAAACCAGAUGUAGACUCUAGCUCGCACACAUCUCAAAUAGUAGCUUAAAUAAAAACCCCUUUCUCUGUAUCCAAACUUCACUUCAUCCAACUCAAAAAGAAGGAGAGAGAAGCUAGCUAUACAACAAAAGUAGGGAGAGAGAGAGAGAAACCCUACAAAAUAAAAAGGAAGAAGAGACGAAGAUGAAGACGAUCCAGCUUGGAUUUAGUUGUUCAUCAUUACUACUCUCUUCUUGGUAGCUUCGACAACAAAACAAGAAGAAAAAAAAGGUCAACUUAAAGAUCUGAGCUCUUAGAUCCAUCAGUCUCUUCUUUAUUUUUAUCCAAUUCAUCACGCCAUCGAAUCAUACAUCAUGGAUGGAACACAAAGCUCACUCCCUCCUCCUUUCCACUCAAGAGACUUUCAGUUACAUCUCCAACAACAACAGCAACAGCAACAAGAGUUCUUCCUCCACCAUCACCAGCAACAAAGAAACCAAACCGAUCAAGAUGACCAACAAGGAGGAGGAGGAAUAAACCGACAAAUCAAGAUGGAUCGUGAAGAGACAAGCGACAACAUAGACAACAUGGCUAACAACAGUGGCAGCGAAGGUAAAGACACAAACCAAGGAGAAGGAGGAAGCGGUGGCGGCGGCGGCUCAGGAGGAGAUCAGAUGACAAGAAGACCAAGAGGAAGACCAGCUGGAUCCAAGAACAAACCAAAACCUCCGAUUAUCAUCACGCGGGACAGCGCCAACGCGCUUCGAACCCACGUGAUGGAGAUUGGCGACGGCUGCGAUCUAGUCGACAGCGUGGCCACUUUCGCACGCAGACGCCAGAGAGGCGUUUGCGUUAUGAGCGGUACUGGAAACGUAACAAACGUCACCAUACGUCAGCCUGGAUCUCCAUCUCCUGGCUCGGUCGUUAGCCUUCACGGAAGGUUCGAGAUUCUCUCUCUCUCGGGAUCUUUUUUACCCCCGCCGGCUCCUCCUAACGCCACAGGGUUAAGCGUUUAUCUCGCUGGAGGACAAGGACAGGUUGUUGGAGGAAGCGUGGUGGGUCCUUUGCUAUGUGCUGGACCUGUGGUAGUCAUGGCGGCUUCUUUUAGCAAUGCGGCGUACGAGAGGCUUCCCUUAGAGGAAGAUGAGAUGCAAACGCCGGUUCACGGAGGUGGAGGUGGAGGAGGAGGAGGAUCGAUGGAGUCGCCGCCGAUGAUGGGAGGACAAAUGCCACAUCAGCAACAAGCUAUGUCGGCUCAUCAAGGGUUACCACCUAAUCUUCUUGGUGGUUCAGCUCAUCAAGGAUUACCACAGCAUGAUAAUCAGCCUUAUUGGUCAACGGGACGACCAUCGUUUUGAUCACCUCGCCCCAUCGUAGCUAGCUAUAUGUAUAUUUAUAGCUAGCUAACCGCAGAAUCACGAGUUUAUGAACGAAUAAGACUAUGAACUUAGUCGAGGACGAUCGAGUUUCAUUAUAUUUGGGUCGACAUGUAUCAGACGAAUCAGGUUUUCUUUUUCCUUUUUUAAUUUCUCUUUUUGGUUCGUUUUAGCUAGUAGAUUUUCUAUGUUGAUUUGAAUAACAUUUUUCUUUGUUUCUUGCUUUUUAUUUGAUGAAUUUCCAUUGGUAGUUUAAAUUUACUUUGUGUUGUUGGCUCUAAGUAUGGUAUUUUCUUAUCAACAUUUUAUGGUGUUUUCGACAAUUUUUAUAGUUCAUAUUCUUAAUAUGGAACUAUUUGGAUACACAAAAGCUCGUUUAUAUGACAUGGUUGUUAGUAAUUGUUAUUGCUUUAAGUUUGAGUUUCCGAUAGGGAGAGAUGGUUUAUGCUUUUACAGGAGGCUUCCACAUAAAUUCUCAGACUUAGAGUUAACUACAUUAUACAAAAUACAUUUUAGCUCCAUAGUAAGUAUAUGUACGCUAAUUUACACAACAACUAUAUAAAUAUGCUGUAUAACUAAGACUGAUACUGCGGUCUACGUCAACUGAUAUAUACAGCAUAUCGAUGAACUGUAUUACACAGUUUCUAUUGACUCAAGCAACAAAAAAGUUCAAGGACGUUUCCUAAACUAGAAUGGCACUUAUUUUUAUUUUUUUGGGUCCAAACAUAAGUGCCUAAACUAGAAAAGCACUUCCCAAAUCAGAUAUGAUCUUUGGAUGGCAGUUAUACUCCGCAAGGAGCCAAAGGGAUUAUUAAUCAUGUUGAUAAUUAUUAUUGGUAUGAUGAAAAGGACUAAGUAUUUUUAUAAGUAAAAACAUUUUGUGGAGCCAAAAAGAAAAAAAAAAGUAAAACAUUUUGUAGUGAGAGUAUUCCAUCUCGUCUUUAAUCAUUAUGGAUAUUUAAUUUCAAUCAAUAAGUCUAUUUGGAUCAUAAUCACCCUUAUUUAGUCUUCAUAACAUAAUAAUGAUUGUGCUAUACACAUGUCGUUUGUCGGACUUAAACUUCUGUUGAUGAUGAAAUAAAAUCGCAUUUUUAUGUAAUGAGGAUGAUGUACAUAAACAUUAGUAUAUAUUAGUAUUCAUUUGUAUAAAUACUAAUAUAUAGUACAUAAUAAUGAAAUAACAUAAUAAUGAUUGUGCUAUACACAUGUCGUUUGUCGGACUUAAACUUCUGUUGAUGAUGAAAUAAAAUCGCAUUUUUAUGUAAUGAGGAUGAUGUACAUAAACAUUAGUAUAUAUUAGUAUUCAUUUGUAUAAAUAAACAUAUGAUUCUUAAUAUAUAAUGUUUACGUACAUCAUUUUUUUAUAUAAGAAAAAGCUGCAAAACCGGCGGCUUAAACGGGGGUUAACAAUUUACGAGAAAAGUUAAGAGGUAUGGGAGCUUUAUGUGCAUGUUCUCUCUUCAUACAGAAACUUAUACGCUUACAUAUGAGCAUCAAUCAAUAGAUCUUUAAGUGUGUGUAUAUAUUUACAUAUAUACUAUGUAUGUAUACGCACAAAUAUAUGUGUAUAUAUACGUGGAUAAGGAGACACUACAUUUGUUCAACUGCUGCCUCACACGUGCGCUUGCUGGUGAAUACCAUGUUCUUUCGGGACUACCAGCUACAGACUCAUAUUUAUGCAUACAAUGUUUACUAUGCCUGAUAUAGUCAUGUGUAUAUAGUGUAAUUAUACAGAUAUAUUAAGUAGCUAAAUUAUUGACUUUUUAUAAUAAAAUAACAUAAAAUACUAACAAGUAAGAUCAUUACAGCUCUUUCUCAAAAAAGAAAGUAAGAAAAUCAUUAUCAAAAGAACAUGGUUUUGCGAAUACAGUAAAUUGUAUAUAGAAUUAUUUGACCCUUAUUCAGGUUUAAAAGGAGGAAUGCCAAGUAGUGCAUAUAUAAAUAUAUAUGCUAAUCAACCUGCCAAGUUUGCUUCUUCCUUUGAUGGCUAUUGUGAUGUAUUAGACUCUAGUGAUCCUCCUAGUUGGCUUUUCCUUUAUGUUGGAGCAGGAACUGAAAGUUAUUGAUAAACAUAAUAUAGUUUAUUUUUGAUAAUUAAAAGGUCUUACAACUUUAUAAUAGUUUUAAAAAUUCAGAGUUUAAAAUAAAUGUUUUAUCUAACUGUAACGAGAACCACCCGUCAUGACAGAAAAUUUUGGGUAAUGAUUUCUUGAUGCAGUGGAAAAAAGACAUCUAGCAUAUACAUGUGGGCUUUUAGACAAGGCCUAUAAAUAUCUAUUUAGCCAGAAAUUUGCAGGAGAGAUGGGCCGAAUGAGCAUUUUAAUCCAGUAAGUUUAACUUGAAAUCUUAAUGUCAAUUUUACGAAACCAUAUUCAACAAAAAAAAUGAUGAAUAAAUAUUUCACGUGGCACAUCUGACGCCUCGUAACCAUUCGGAAAAAUGAGAAACAUAAAAUAAAAUUGCUGACGACCUCAAGUCCAUGAUUGAAGCAAUUUGCAUCACAAUCGCUAAUAAAUAUGAUGAUAAUAUAGACGUUUCACAACAACAUUCACAGGUGUACAACUUGACAAUCUGAUUCCCGACACAACACAUCACAUUAGUUGGUACUAGUAUAUCUUAUUCUUAUCCUAUAUACUAAUCAAACAAAAUUUCAUAUGACGAAAAAACACGAGUUAUAGAUAAGAUUGACAUCUUAUUAAAUUAAGAUGUAAUUAUCUAUCAAUUGUUUGCUUAAAUAUGUAGUUUGAAAUUGUCAAUACUUUAAUAAAUGUUUGCUUAAAUAUGUAGUUUGAAAAUGUCAAUACUUUAUAAUAAUACAUGUUUAUUUUGACACGACUAUUUCAUGUGAUUUCUCUCAUCAAAGUCCAAACUUGACCAAAGUUCUUAAAUAAAUCCACAGGCCAAAAGAAGCUUUGAUAAAUUGAUUUUACAAGUUACCCACAAAGAUUAUAAUCCAUACCUGAAUAGCAUGAAAUAGAGAUGACUGAGUUUGUUUGACAAAAAAAAAAGAGAUGACUGAGUUUAUUAAAGAACCAAAUUCAUCAUCUUACCCCCCUUUGGAAACAAUCCACUAGUAGAAACCCAAUUCCAUUCAAAUACAAUUUGAGAUAAAAGAAAAGAGAGACCAACACCAUAGCCUUUCUCAGAACCUUUGAAGUUUAUCAGCUUUAAUAACCGGAUUGGCUUUUGCAAUCUCUCCACGCCCAGCUUCUUUGAAAUCAAAGCUGCAAUCAUGUCUCUCAGGGUACCGAUGUUCGCCGCAGAAAGUGCUCCCGCAUUUGCACUUAAACCCAAGUAUACCAACCUUCUUGUUGCAACAAAGGCACCGGUUCGGCCGUGCAGGUUUAGAUGGUGGUUCGUUCUGUUCAGGAACUGUAGCUUCUCCUGUUGCAGAAGAUGGCUCGGCCACCACAAGAACAGUAGCAACCGCCUUUUCUUUCUCUGGUUUCGCCACAUCAGGCUCUGCUAUGAAGAGGGUAGGAGGAGGAGGCGAUGGCGAUGGCUUGAAAGAUUUCUCAACGGCAGCUUUUGCAACAGCUGUUUGAGCUUCCUCUGCGCAUAUGUCUCGGUAGCAUUUCGAACACAGAUCCAUGUUUGAUGGCGAACCAAAGAAACCACAUCCGUUUGCACAAAGUUUCGGCUCUGAUGAUUGUGUGAAGCUCGUGCUAUCAUUCUGUUCAGAACCCAUUCUUCCUGUUUAAAAAAAAAAAACACAAAUUCAAAUUCAAAAAAUUCAAAAUCACUUAUUCGACCUUUUUUUUUUAAUAAUCCAAAUCAUUUCGAAACAGACCGAAUCAAAUUCACACAAUUACAGCAAAAAAAAGAAACUCGUCGAUUACAAGUAGAUCCGAGACAAAACAAGGUUCAGUUACAGAUCCGACAAGACAGUCAAAUAAAACAAUAAGAUCAAUCAAGACGAAAGAUUCUAACCUGUUGGAACCGUGAGAUUUCUUCCUCUUUAGAAAGAAUUUUAUAUAACAGAUUCAGGAAAUGAAUCUGAUCUAUCGGAAUAAAAAGUGAAUCUUAAUCGGAACAAGAUGUAUUAUGAUUUGUGCUUAAUAGAUAAGAAUUGAGAACGAAACCUUUCGUUACCAAGAAAGAAAAAGAAAUAUGAGAGAGAAAUGAAACCGAACACGUAACUAUGAAGAACAUACAUCUGUCUUUGUAUAUAUUAUAUAAAUAUAUUGAUGAGUCACGCGUGAGAUUUUACCUUUUAGGAUAUGCGCCGGUAUAAUAUUCUUGUGCAUUACGCGUUAUUGUACACCUUAGGAAUCUUAUCUUUCCGAUUUUGAAGCCCAUCUAUUUUGACGGUCCUGAUUUAUCAUUGGGCGGCUGAUUGGAAUAAUGGUUCGGUUCGUUGUAUAUAACAUCAAAAAAUGUGUCUCUGUUCUUCUUCUUCUUUUAUGCGGAGUACGCACCGAGUUCAGAUAUUUGUUUGAUUCAGUUUUCAAAAUCUUGUAUUUUGGUAUUUAAUUGUUAGAAGUGUAUGUAGUUGAGUGCAGUUGAAAGGUUUUGCAUGUUUAAAAAGGUAUUUAAAUAGGUAUGAUUUUUACCGCGAGUUAGUGUUUUGAAAGUGUUUAUAUUUUAGGAUUGAUAAAUGAGAGCAUGGUUUGUAUUUUAGAGUUAUAUAUCUUAUAUAUUAAAACAGAAGUCACAACCUUGAUUCAUGUGUGAUUUUUUUUUAAAAUGGACCCUUGCUAGAAAUCAAUUAUCAUUCAUUUAUUACUAAUAAUAUGAAUUAAUAAUAUAUCAUUCCUAAUAUAACAUCGACUCCUAAAAACCUGGAUUGGUUAACAAACUCACAUUGAUUCAUGUGCGAUAUUUUUAUUUGGAUCAUCAUUUAAAUUUUUUUAUUAAAUGUAUUUCCUUAAUGCUAAUAUAUAAUCUUUUAACUACUUAAAUCAUAAUAUAAUUUGAUAUCUUUUUAUUUAAAAUAUAAAUAUAAAUAUAUUUUUUUAACAAAUGUUUGAAAAACAUUAUAAAAAUAUCUUAAUUAUCAAAAAUUGUAUAUAAAUAGUUUCACUAAUUUUGUAAUUAGUAAUGAAAUUAAUGUUAUUAUACAUUAGUAUAUAUAUACUCAGUUAUCUUUUAUAAAUGAAAAAAAUUAUAUCAAAUUUUAAUAUUUUAUAGUUAUAUCUAUCAUUUUAUAAUAAAACAUUUUAUUUAACUAAAUAUGAUAAAAUUAUUUUAAACUGAUAAAUUAAUAUAUUUUAUUUUUACAAACAUUAAAAAUUUAUGCUAGAAAUAGAAUAUGUUGGUAGAACGGGUUAACAUUAGUAAAUUAGAUAAUUCAUGUAUAAAAUUAACUUAUCUUAAAACUUUUUUUUUAUAUAUAUAUAGUUAUUAUCUUAAAUGAAUAAACAUAAAAAAAUUAUUGAUAAAGGAAAUCUAGCGCUUUGAAUUACGGAUCAGGAUCAUAAUAAUUGAAUAAAAAUUAAUUUUAAAAUAUAUAUAAUAAAAAUACCAAAUAUAUGUGAUGAUUUGAAAUAAUCAAUUAACUUACAACAUGAAAAUUAUCAAAUUGUUAUAUUUAAAAUGAUUAUAUAAAUAUAUUCUAAUUAUGUAAAACAUAUAUAAAAUGAAAAUUAAUACCCGCACGGUUGUGCGGGUCCAAAUCUAGUGGUGUUUUAUUUUAGUGGAUUUAUUUAUAUUGAAUUUCGUUUUACUAAGUUAUGGUCGAGGGGCUAAGCUCAUAAACGCAUCGUUUUGAAACGAACAGAUAAAUUAAAUUUAAAAUGAAGUUUAAAUUUAACCAUCUCGUGUGACAUGAGUUCGAACUCUCGAAAUCGGUGGGUGUUUGUGUUUUAUUAUAAAGUUUGGAAAACCGUUAAAUUAUAUUUAUAAUCAAAAAAGCCAUUAUUUGUAUAGCUGAGUCAUAGUACAAUUUGCAUUUUAUUUGGUUAUGUUCUUAUAUGUUUGGCUUUUUCUUAUGUUUCUUUUAAGUUGUAUCCAAGUUGAGUGAGUCAAGGCAUCUACUGCUCUUAAAAGUAAACGAAAACCCACCAAAGAUAAACGGAGACGCAAAUAAACAAUCGCAAAGGCAGACAGGGUCACAAAGACAUUCCGUUUGUAUAACGACUCUCGAAACACAACGAACAACUACCAAAGGAAAACCAGAGAAUAUUCUACAGAGAUGGAGUCAGCGAUCUCUCUGAACGACAGAAAGAAAAGUUCUUCAACGACUGAAAGAUGUGUGUCAAACUGAAAGAGAAUAAUUAUGGAACACAAUUUUAUGAAGCGUGACAAUUUCAUGUACUUCACGCAUCAGUUGAUGCUCAACGUGUAGACUUCUGCGAAAUGCGAGAGAUAUGACUUACUGAUCAAGGCCUUAACAACGACAUCUUAGAAUUGGCGUCAUUUUUCCUUUCAGUUUUAAUAAAGAAUAAAGGUGGAAAGUAAGCAUAGAGUUGCAAAGUUAAGAUGAAAUUAAAUGUACAAAUCUGUAGCUUUGAUCCGUUUGCAUAAGAGACAAUGUAUUAGUACGGGAAACUUUAUUUAAAUUUUAUAAUAUUGGAGUCGAUAUAGGAACCGC